rnacentral:rRNA from 1 species
CGCUGGCGGCGUGCCUAAUACAUGCAAGUAGAACGCUGAAGAGAGGAGCUUGCUCUUCUUGGAUGAGUUGCGAACGGGUGAGUAACGCGUAGGUAACCUGCCUUGUAGCGGGGGAUAACUAUUGGAAACGAUAGCUAAUACCGCAUAACAAUGGAUGACACAUGUCAUUUAUUUGAAAGGGGCAAUUGUUCCACUACAAGAUGGACCUGCGUUGUAUUAGCUAGUAGGUGAGGUAAUGGCUCACCUAGGCGACGAUACAUAGCCGACCUGAGAGGGUGAUCGGCCACACUGGGACUGAGACACGGCCCAGACUCCUACGGGAGGCAGCAGUAGGGAAUCUUCGGCAAUGGGGGCAACCCUGACCGAGCAACGCCGCGUGAGUGAAGAAGGUUUUCGGAUCGUAAAGCUCUGUUGUAAGUCAAGAACGGGUGUGAGAGUGGAAAGUUCACACUGUGACGGUAGCUUACCAGAAAGGGACGGCUAACUACGUGCCAGCAGCCGCGGUAAUACGUAGGUCCCGAGCGUUGUCCGGAUUUAUUGGGCGUAAAGCGAGCGCAGGCGGUUUGAUAAGUCUGAAGUUAAAGGCUGUGGCUCAACCAUAGUUCGCUUUGGAAACUGUCAAACUUGAGUGCAGAAGGGGAGAGUGGAAUUCCAUGUGUAGCGGUGAAAUGCGUAGAUAUAUGGAGGAACACCGGUGGCGAAAGCGGCUCUCUGGUCUGUAACUGACGCUGAGGCUCGAAAGCGUGGGGAGCGAACAGGAUUAGAUACCCUGGUAGUCCACGCCGUAAACGAUGAGUGCUAGGUGUUGGAUCCUUUCCGGGAUUCAGUGCCGCAGCUAACGCAUUAAGC